GUGUGAAUGCAAGAAAGUUGAAAAAGUAAGUUAUCCUUCCUUUCCUAGCAAUAAACGUGAAUCACCCAAGAUAUUUUGCUGGACUUCUUGGCUGCACCAGAAAUUCCCUUGGUCAUUCUUGCUUUACUUCUUUGUCUUCUUCCUUCUUUCUUCUUAUUGGUUGCACCUUUAUCUCUUCUUUGACUUUCUCAAAGAAAGAAGACUCAAGAAGCUCCCCCUCUCUUUUCCCACGGGUCCAAUUAAAUCAGAAAAUUCUCACUUCACUUUUCUCUCUUUUGUCUUAAGGAAAGUGCUUGGAAGCUCUCUUGAGUCUUCCCUCAAGUCCACGGGUUCACACACCAAAAGAAAACUCAAUUCUUCUUCAUAUUCUCUCUAAGGAACCAGAAAACUCUCUCAAGCUCUCUACCAUUCUUUCAUGAGUGGUUCUAUGUCUAUUUUUCCCCUCAAGAAACAUAAACUUGGUGUUACCAGUAUCCAAGUCUAAGCUCCUUCAACUUUAGGCUCUCGGUUCCUCUGCUCUUAGGUAAGGGAUAAGUUAUAUGGGCAUUUGGUAAGUCAUGAGGUUAUUUUAAAGUAUAUUAUGCAUUAAAAUGUUUUUGAUUAGAGAUAUGACAUAUAUUCAUUAUUCUAACAAAGAUAUGUUCGUGAACUUUCGAAAACUUAUGUAUAGGAUUUAAGCAUAUUGAUGCUAUUAUUGAUUCCACGAACAUGAUGUUUAAAGAAAAGAAUGGAAAUGCUAUUAUGAUGAAAUGUUAUGCAAGAUAAGAAAUUUCAGUAUGAUGUAAAGUAUGAAAUGUUUUCGGGUUAUGUCCUCUGGUGAUCUGAACUCUGCUAGUAGGGGUUAAUUACUAACUUUCCAUGGAAAAUGUUAUAUGAUUGGCCAUUAAGUGGGACUGGCUCUGCUGUACCCGCCCCUUGUUGGUUACGGCCAACUUGUGGGGGAAGCCAACCUACCCCCAUGGUUGGAAGAUAUGUAUUAUGAUGUAAUCCCGGGAAUACCUGGCAUUGUGGGGAAUGCUGGAUGCCUAGCACCGUGGUGCUAGAAGCCUCCCAAAUAAGUACAGACUUAUCAGAUAUGGGCUAACCAAUAAGUUAUUUAUGAACAACUAUGUUAUGUUAUUAAUCAUAAGAGAAUUAUUUUGUUUAAAUGCAUUGUGAAAAGUGAAAACUCUCAUGGCAAGAAGAAGUUUCUAAUGAAAAGAAAAGUUGUUCAUUAAAGAUAAAAGUUUCUGAAGUUCUGUUAUGCUAUAAAGGUAAAGUUUCUGAUGAAAGUACAAGUUAUGUUUAAAAGUUAUCAUAUACCUGUUCUUUAUGAAAUGUUAAGUUUUAUGACUAUGAAAGUUAUAAUAUUUUGGAAAGAGAUUUAUGAAGAAAAGUUUUCUUAUUAGUCAAGAUGUUUCUAGCUUAAUACAAAGUUGCCAAUUAUUUGAUUUAAGUUAAAAUAAUUAUCUUGUAAUGAGAAUAUAUGUAUGGCGACUUUGUAGGAAGUGAAAGAAGUUUAAUCCGAAAGGUUUUAGUAAUAUUAAACCGAUAAGAAAAAGGAGAACAAUUAUUUUCUAUGAUGAGCGUAUAAGCUAUUAUUAUGAAUAGUAUAAAAUACUAUGCAUGAAAAGAUGUUCUCCUGUUCGAAUAUUCAUAGAAUGAAAUGAUUUGGUUACAUGCAUCCUUAUUGAAUUCUCAUAUAUCUUACCUUUACUGAGCUGUAUAGCUCACCCCUUCCACUCUUUCAGUUAACAGGUUUUAUUUUGGAGCAGAGGGAGCCUUAGUCGAGUUUUGGAAGGAGCUAGUUUAGUUUUAUUUGUAUAGAUCCUAAAUUAGCAAUAUGAUGUUUAGAUUUGUAGCAUUGUUUAUUUUAGGAUCUAAUGAAAGUGUAUACCUUAAAGUAUUAAGAGAUGUAUUAUGUGAAAUUUCGAAUUUGAACAAUUGGUGAAUUAUGUUAUUCUUU